CCUCAGCCUCCCAAAGUGCUGGGAUUACAGGUGUGAGCCUGGCCCACAUUCCUAUGAAUGGGGUCUUCUGUGCAAAGAAUGACUAUCCCUCUGAGAAUUCCCAGAAAUACACAGAGAGCAGGACUUGGUAACAGACUUUCCUCUCUGAAGACAAGUAAACUGCAUAUUAAAGCGGACUGUGACCUCAUAGACUGAUGAAAUUUGAAACACUUAAGCUACAUAUGCUGCUUCUGGGUUAUGUGUUCUGUGUCAUAUCUUAGCUUCCUUUUUCAGACAAUACAUCUUUGAUGAUCGAAAACAACAACAACCUGAUACAGUUCCUUGCAGUUCUAAAAGCCCAAUAGUCCAGAAUACAAAGUCUCUAUUAUGUUCUUCUCUGGAUAAAAGAACUUGUGGACUUUAUAACAUAAUCCAAGAAUGAAGAAAAAAAAAACAACCAAAACCUACCUUUAGGAACAAAGAGGGCACAUAGCAGGAAGCUGAAAUACAGAACGUCUUCUGAGAACACAGAGAACAUUUAGCAAAAAGUGGAAAAUCUGACAACACUGUACAGUCGCAGUCUUCCUCUCCAUAACAAUAAUUUUUUCUCCUCUCACUAAAAUAGAGCAAUUUUUAUUGUCACAAGCCCAUGUGUAUUACUGGCAAUAGGGAUAUAGCUGUAUAGGACACCUCCUUAAACAUCUCCUUUAUUUUAAGAUUCAGUUAGGGGGAAAUGACUAGUUUCCCAGCACUUUCUGGUUACCAUGGAUACCUGUCAUCCACAUCCAGAGCCUGCAGGUUACACUCAGGGACUCUUGCCAGCUCAUGAAUAAUAUCGCUGAAGCCCGCUGCCGCUGCGAUAUGUACACAUGUCUUCCCACUCUCAUCAUCAUAGUUGAUUAUGGACGGCCCCUGGUGAUGGCUCAGAAUGAUGGAGCACAGAAUCCUAUUUCCACUCUGGAAAAGAGAGUCAAAGAAAGCCCAUUAUGUACAAUCCAGUGUUCUUCUCUGUCUAGGCAUGUUAAGAUAAAAAUACAAAGGAAAAAAAGGAAAGAAAGAAAGAAAGAAAAAAGAUGAAAAGAGAAAAGGAAAUGGAAAAAAAAGAAUAAAAAUACACUCUAUCUAAGCUCUCCAACAAGUGUCCACUUGUCUCAAGUCACUGCAGAGAUUUUUGUCUCCCACAGGAGCUAAAUUGUCUUCCAUAACUAGUGAACGAAGGAUGGAUUGAAAUUAAAUACAGGUGCAAUGGACUGACGUCAGAGCUAGAGUGAUCGGUGGGCCACCUAGACAACAACUUGCUCAUUAGGUCUGAUCAUUUGUGUCCCCAUUUGCUGUAGAGGCUGACCACCAAGAAACUGACAGAGUUCAUCUUAAUGUUAAAGAAGUGACUAUGAUGAGUACUGAUUGGUGGCGCAGUGAUGCACUUAAAAAGCUUGUUUCGGGGUAGGGCCAAGGAGCAGGGGGCUGAGAAUUUGUCCCAGGGAGCCUGGGAAGCAGAACUGUCUGAGCAGAGGCUACAGUCUUGUAUCAGACUUCGUUUACAAAAACAAUUAAAAGAUAAAGUGAGAAUUUCCAGAUGGGGACUACAGAACAUUAUGCCUUAAGCACAGGGUCCCAUCUGAGUACCAGACCCUCUGUGGCUGCACUGGUUACAUAUCCAUAAAGCAAUCUCUGGCUACAAACUUUUUCUUUCUCUUCCUAUCAUCUUCCCUUUUGCGUCUUCUUCCUCCAUCCAUCUUUCCUUUGUCUAACAAUGAUUUUAAAUAACUUUGACCCAUUGUUUAUAUUCUAUGGCAUGCCUGUCCUUAGAAGUCAGCUAAAGCUUACUUAGGUGACUUAGAAGUCACCUAAAGUUUAGGUGAGCACACCUAAGCUUUCAUGCCUUUAUCAACUUUUCUAUGUUUGUUUCACUUCAUGCUAGUUAGACAUACAUCGAAGGAGUCUGAAAUACAUUUUAGAUAGUCAAGAGACACUUUUCUUUAAAAGCAGUAGCCAUUCAAUAAGGAAAAUAGAAGCAAAAAGAGUGUCAGCACAACAAUUCUUUUUUGUUUACAAUUUCCUGGAAGAGUAAAGGAAUUCAAGCUGUCAAGGUGGUUCAAAGGCCAAAACACCCUGUUCAUAGUUUCCCCUCUUGGUAGAAGAAGAAGCAUUAAGUGCAGAUGGAGAAAACAAAACCCCACACUCGUACUCUCUUCCUUUCGCCUCCCUCGCCCCUGGGGUGGAGUCAUUCUGGAAGUGGUAAACUGAAAUAGAGGCUGCUGCUUCUGGGAUCCUGCCAGCCAGUCCCAGGCAGCAGGUCUCUUGGUAGCUGGGGUACUGUUGACAGCCUCUCUGGAUAAGUAAAGACAGACUCCAUACCUUUACUCUUUUCCUUUUGUCCUAAAUUCUCCAAACAAUUCCUUUGUCUCUAUACCUGAAUCUCACUUAUAGCACCAUUGUUUGUAUUUUACUUUUCUUUGUAAGAAGAUCCUCCCAGGAAGAAUGGUGACAACUGUAUUUACUGUGUGAUCGUCUGGGCCUGGCACCUUUCUAAGCCAUUUCAUGUACUAACUCAUGAACAACAAUCCCACAAGGUUGGUACUAUUAUUGUCCUCAUAUUGUACAGGAGACAAUGAAGGCAUAAGGGAUUAAGAAAUUUGCCCUCUGUCACGGCUGAGAAUGAGCAGAUCCAGGAUUGACUGUGGAGGCAUUGGACUUCACCACUAUACUAUUCUGUCUGUGAUUAAAAAGAAUGGUCUAUUAAUUUGAUCCUGCAUGUUCAUACUGGAGGAACUAAAGUGAAAACUGUUUAGACCUACAUCAGUACCAGUGACGUGUGCCUCACCAACUGAGACCUCCUUUACAGUUAAUCUUUGGAGGAUUGUUAGGAAGAUCCAAAAUGGCCCAAAUUCAUGAAACCAACUCUAAGUGGGGAUAUAAACGUUGAAGAUGAUUGGAGUAAAGCUUCAAGUUCCAGCUCCUUUAGCCAGCUGCAUAGAUCCAAGAAUGCUCCUUUGCAACUGGGACCCCAUAAUGACACCCUUCGCCUACCCUGCUCCUUCCACCCUGUGACAGGCACAAGUCAGUACCAGGGCUGUUGGAACAAGCCAGCCUCAUGAAGCAGGAUCCAGGUGCUUCUUAUUCCUUCAGGUGAAGAACUCAAACCUCAGAUUCACUCCUUGCCCAGUCGAGACUUGUGUAGAUGUCUUUGGACUGGAGAUUGUGAUUCUUCUCCAGAUGAACUGCAAGCUAUGACCCUGAGAAAUCCCCAAGAAAGGGUAAAUCCCAAGAUUUCUGUUUUCACUGAAAGAACACCGAGUUCAGAGUUGUGGCUGAGUCUUAACUUCUAAGUGUCCCUUUUGCCAAAGUUUUCUUUAAUAUUUGAAUUUGAACAUUGCCUGGAGGGAGUGAUGAGCUUUGCAGUGCAGUCCCUAGGACACCAGAAAUUGAGUUGCAGUCGGCAACUCAAUUUCUCUCCAAUUUUUUUCCUUCUGAAACUCUUUCAGUCAUCUGUACUGGGAAAAAGCAGCAAUGAAGUGCUAUGUCUUAAAAUAGUUGCAAAAUUUCCUUCCUUUCCCUUCCUCCCUUCCUUUCUUCCUGUCAACAAGUGGUAAUUAUAACUAUUGAGAGAAAAAAAGGACAUGCUGCAAAAGGCAAUUAUUGAAGCAAUCUGUGAAUCUGAAAUGCUCAGUAAGUAAAGCUAAAGAAUCCCUAGAUAGGCCGGGUGUGGUGGCUCCUGCCUGUAAUCCCAGCACUUUGGGAGGCAGAGGUGGGCAGAUCUCUUGAGGCCAGGAGUUCGAGAACAGCCUGGCCAACAUGGUGAAACCCUGUCUAAAAAUUCAAAAAAAAUUAGCCGGGCAUGGUGGCACGCACCUAUGAUCCCAGCUACUCAGGAGGCUGAGGCAGGAGAAUUGCUUGAACCCGGGAGGUGGAGGUUGCAGUGAGCCGAGAUUGUGCCACUGCACUCCAGCCUGGGUGACAGAGUGAGACUCCAUCUCAAAAAAAAAACACACACACAAAGAAACAAAAACAGAAUCCCUAGAUAUUGUUUUCAUAAAAUUACAUGCUAUGUCUGGCUAAUUUACAUCUAUCUUGAGAGCCUAGCUUACAUAUAAAUUUCUUCAGGGAACACCUUCCUGACCCUCCAUUGUGAACUGGAUGUCCAUGUUAUAAUUUUUCAUCAUCCUUCAUUUUUCUCUAGUAAUUCUUUUAAUAUUUUACAAUUAUGUAUUGAUUGAGCAUAAUCACGUGUUUAAAAUUUGUCUCUUCUAAGCUAUAAUUCGAAGUGGAAGGAACCACAUCUCUCCUGCUCAUCACUGAAUCCUCGGUACCAACCACUGUACCUGGUACCGGGAAGAUAUUAAACAGCAAUUCUGAAAUGCAUAACCAAAUGAUUACUGAACAAAUCUUUUCUUUCUUUUUUUUUUUUUUGAGACGGCAUCUUGCUCUGUUGCCCAGGCUGGAGUGCAGUGGUGUGAUCAUGGCUCCCUGCAGCCUUGACCUUCUAGGCUCAAGCAAUCCUUCCACGUCAAUGUCUCAACGUACGGGGAUUACCGGCGUGAGCCACUGCAUCUGGCCCAAAUAUUUCUUAAGUUUAAAAUAAUUUUCCUGAGGUGUCUCUAACUGAGGUUUAGGGAGGAAUGACAGAUUUAUCUCCAAAUGGGGUUCCAAAAUUUAUUUUAAGUUGGUACAUUUGUCCUUGUAGAAAAUAGAAAAAAAAAAACCCUCAAAAUAAAACAAGUAAGACAGUACAGCAUUGUUC
rnacentral:lncRNA from 10 species